UUGAACGCUGGCGGCAGGCCUAACACAUGCAAGUCGAACGGUAACAGGAAGCAGCUUGCUGCUUUGCUGACGAGUGGCGGACGGGUGAGUAAUGUCUGGGAAACUGCCUGAUGGAGGGGGAUAACUACUGGAAACGGUAGCUAAUACCGCAUAACGUCGCAAGACCAAAGAGGGGGACCUUAGGGCCUCUUGCCAUCGGAUGUGCCCAGAUGGGAUUAGCUAGUAGGUGGGGUAACGGCUCACCUAGGCGACGAUCCCUAGCUGGUCUGAGAGGAUGACCAGCCACACUGGAACUGAGACACGGUCCAGACUCCUACGGGAGGCAGCAGUGGGGAAUAUUGCACAAUGGGCGCAAGCCUGAUGCAGCCAUGCCGCGUGUAUGAAGAAGGCCUUCGGGUUGUAAAGUACUUUCAGCGGGGAGGAAGGGAGUAAAGUUAAUACCUUUGCUCAUUGACGUUACCCGCAGAAGAAGCACCGGCUAACUCCGUGCCAGCAGCCGCGGUAAUACGGAGGGUGCAAGCGUUAAUCGGAAUUACUGGGCGUAAAGCGCACGCAGGCGGUUUGUUAAGUCAGAUGUGAAAUCCCCGGGCUCAACCUGGGAACUGCAUCUGAUACUGGCAAGCUUGAGUCUCGUAGAGGGGGGUAGAAUUCCGGGUGUAGCGGUGAAAUGCGUAGAGAUCUGGAGGAAUACCGGUGGCGAAGGCGGCCCCCUGGACGAAGACUGACGCUCAGGUGCGAAAGCGUGGGGAGCAAACAGGAUUAGAUACCCUGGUAGUCCACGCCGUAAACGAUGUCGACUUGGAGGUUGUGCCCUUGAGGCGUGGCUUCCGGAGCUAACGCGUUAAGUCGACCGCCUGGGGAGUACGGCCGCAAGGUUAAAACUCAAAUGAAUUGACGGGGGCCCGCACAAGCGGUGGAGCAUGUGGUUUAAUUCGAUGCAACGCGAAGAACCUUACCUGGUCUUGACAUCCACGGAAGUUUUCAGAGAUGAGAAUGUGCCUUCGGGAACCGUGAGACAGGUGCUGCAUGGCUGUCGUCAGCUCGUGUUGUGAAAUGUUGGGUUAAGUCCCGCAACGAGCGCAACCCUUAUCCUUUGUUGCCAGCGGUCCGGCCGGGAACUCAAAGGAGACUGCCAGUGAUAAACUGGAGGAAGGUGGGGAUGACGUCAAGUCAUCAUGGCCCUUACGACCAGGGCUACACACGUGCUACAAUGGCGCAUACAAAGAGAAGCGACCUCGCGAGAGCAAGCGGACCUCAUAAAGUGCGUCGUAGUCCGGAUUGGAGUCUGCAACUCGACUCCAUGAAGUCGGAAUCGCUAGUAAUCGUGGAUCAGAAUGCCACGGUGAAUACGUUCCCGGGCCUUGUACACACCGCCCGUCACACCAUGGGAGUGGGUUGCAAAAGAAGUAGGUAGCUUAACCUUCGGGAGGGCGCUUACCACUUUGUGAUUCAUGACUGGGGUG
rnacentral:rRNA from 1 species